rnacentral:misc_RNA from 1 species
UUUCCGUAGGUGAACCUGCGGAAGGAUCAUUAUUGAAUAACAGAGGUGCGAGAACUAUCGCUGACCCGACCGUACGCGCUUGCUCGAGUGGCCCCACACAGACCUAUCCCACCCCUAUGUGCACCACCGCGCCGGUCAACCCUUGGCUUGUACGGAGGGGGGCCUACGUUUUCACUCAUUUAAUGCAUGAAGAGUAGAAUGUAUUUUUUGUUUUUGUGUUCACGCAAUCAAUAAAACUUUCGAUAACGGAACUAUUGGCUUUAGCACCGAUGAAGAACG